UGUAGGCGUAGCAACUCCUCUUUUGGUUCAAUUGCCUCACAUCUCUCUCGAUCAGCAGCAAGACCACCGGAGACUCUGUACGGUGUAGAGAGAAUGGAGACGGCAGGACAGUGGUUGGAGAAGGCGUUACUAGAUCUUUGUCGGAAGACAGACGGUUUGGAAUUAGAUGGAGAUCUCAUCUCAGGGCUAGUCUCCUACUGUGACCUUGCUCCUCCUGUUGACGCUAAGGAGUACCUCGAUAAUAUAGUUGGUGAGGAAGCUGGUCGACCCGUGAUUAAUGAAUACCUGAAACGAAGAGGUUAUAUAGAGACCACCACCCCGCCAGAUCAUCCAACCACCCAAUUCCGUGAGUAUGUCAAACCACCAUCAAAAGAAACCGUAGUCAUGUCUAAAAAACCAGUAAAACCUCCAAAAGAAACUCCACCCUCCACUUCGAAGAAUGUCACAGCUCAGAUCACACAACCACAAAACCAACAAACGGGAAGUCAAAGCAAGUCAAAGAAGAAAAAAACCGGAAAAGUCAUAUCUCUUGCUGAAGCUUCUAAGGGUUCGAUCAUCUUUCAGCAGGGGAAACCAUGCUCAUGUCAAGCCCGUAGACACAGAUUGGUUAGUAAUUGUUUGUCUUGUGGGAAGAUUGUGUGUGAACAGGAAGGAGAGGGACCUUGUAGUUUUUGUGGGGCCCUUGUUUUAAGAGAAGGAAGCACGUAUGCUGGCUUAGAGGAAGAAACCGUUCCCUUAUCGGAUGCUGAGGUGGCAGCUGAAGCUUAUGCGAAAAGACUUGUUGAUUAUGACCGCAACGCUGCUGCUCGUACAACAGUUAUAGAUGAUCAGAGUGAUUACUAUGAGAUUGAAGGAAAUAGUUGGCUGUCAAUGGAGGAAAAGGAGCUUUUGAGGAAGAAAAAAGAGGAGAUAGAGGAAGCUGAACGAGUUAAUCGCAGCAAGGUUGUCAUAUCGUUCGACUUAGUUGGGCGUAAGGUUCUUCUGAAUGAAGACGAAGCGUCUGAACAGUUUCAGAAGAGUAUCAUGCUACAGCCUGUUAAUGAACGAGAAGUGAACCGCAUCAAGCCCAAUCCGACCCUUGAAAUACAACCGGUUUUUAUCGACCCGGGCCACAGAAAGAAAAAGCCCGAGGUGAAGACCAAGAACAGUCAUGUGAAAAAAGGUGUAUCUACUGGCUUGUGCUUGGAAAUUAGUGGGAGAGUGCAACAUGAUACUAGUGACAACUGACACACCAUUACCAUUUGGUGGAUAUUAGCAACUUUUAAGAUGGAGAGAAGAGUUGAUCUUUACUUCGAGGAACAUGGGCUGAACAUGGGCUUGUCUGAGAAAACAUUGGGUUAUUACUUGGUGGUUUGAGAUUGCAAACCCUUGUAUUAAUUGGGAAAUGGCCUUGUGGUGGUGAUAACAGACAAAAAAGCGACACAUCAUGUAAAUUAAAUUGGUUAUCAAGUCUUUUAUAGGGGGGGGGGGUGAUGGUGGUUUGGACAUGGGGAGUUCGACCAAAAUGAAGGUGAGGGUUUAGUGCUUGGUUAUCAAACUCUCAAAAUCUGCCUUUAGUUGAUCUUUUCUUCAGAUUUGUUGGUUCACGCAACAACAUCAUGUUUUGGUUGAAUGAUUUGGAGACACCAUUAGCUUGAUCAUUCCUUAGGCUAUUUGUUUUGGAAACAAAACCUUCUGACCUUAAUUACAAGACGUUGCAACGCUCAAAGAGCUCUGUAUCGCAUGCACAGUCUGUCGAUUGAUCAAUGUAAAUAAGGGUGAUCGAGUUUUGCUUUUCAUCCAUAACCUGAUCGACAUUAUGACAUGACGGUAAAUCAAG